rnacentral:rRNA from 1 species
CACGGGUAGAUCUCCCACCCUUGAAUAUUAUACCUUCGUUGCUUUGGCAGGCCGUGGAAACACCAGAGGCUCCGGCUGAUGCGUGCCUGCCAGAGGAAACAAACUCUGUUUUUAGUGAUGUCUGAGUACUAUAUAAUAGUUAAAACUUUCAACAACGGAUCUCUUGGUUCUGGCAUCGAUGAAGAACGCAGCGAAAUGCGAUAAGUAAUGUGAAUUGCAGAAUUCAGUGAAUCAUCGAAUCUUUGAACGCACAUUGCGCCCCGUGGUAUUCCGCGGGGCAUGCCUGUUCGAGCGUCAUUUCAACCCAUCAAGCUUCGGCUUGGUCUUGGGGCCUGCGGUUUCGCAGCCUCUAAACCCAGUGGCGGUGCUAUUGAGCUCUGAGCGUAGUAAUUUCUCUCGCUAUAGAGUCUCGGUGGUGACUUGCCAACAACCCCCAAUUUUUAUCAGGUUGACCUCGGAUCAGGUAGGGAUACCCGCUGAACUUAA